GUAGGCAACUCUAAUGGCGGGGAUUUUUCUUCUCUGAGUGAUAUGGGAAGCCAUGAGCUACCUUGAAACAGAGGAGUGACAUGAUUGGCUUAUAUUGAAAAAAUAUCACUUUGGCUUGUCUGUUAAAAUCUGUGGGCAAAGUUGUAAGUAUAAAAUUAGAAGGUUAUUGCAAUAAUCAAAUAAGUGAUUAAUUAUUGUUAGUAAAAGUGGGAGAAGUGUCAGGAUUCUGGAUAUAUUUUUAAGGUAGGAGCCAAAGUUUUCCUGAAAAAUUAAUUGUCGAAUGUGAGAAAAGGCAAAUCCAGGGUGGAUUCCAAAGAUUGCAGCCUGAGUAAAUGGGAGGUGGAGUUGUCAUUUACUUAGAGAAGAAAUAUUUUGGAGUAUACAUUUUGGGAGGGAUAAGAGCAAGAAUUUAGUUUUAGUUAGGUGGAGUUGAAAUUUCCUUGGAUUAGGAUGAAACUGAGCCUGUAUCCACAAGGUUGAUGUGGGAAACCAAGUAACCAAAGUUUCUGAGCUUGUCUUGCAGAACAACAUGAGGACUGCUGAUGAAGAAAGUAGCUUGCUGACAGCUCCCCGCCUGCCUAAGCAUCGCGCAGGAGCACUGAGCAGCCACAAUGACCCAUUCAGGAAGCAGAAGGCCUAAGCCAUCUAUAAUCUUCUUACUUGAGAGUGGGAAAGAGCCAUGGAUGGAAGAGAGAAUGGUGACACGAGCCACAAGCUCAGGUCACUGCCACAGCAUGGCCGCCAACAAGUGGUAUAGGUCCGUGCCCAGGAACCAAAUCCAGGCUGCUGAAGUGGAGCACAGCGAAUUUAACUGCUAGGCCAUGUGGCCAGCCCCAAGUUUUCAAUUUUAAUUAAUUUAAAUAAUAGUGUUUUAUCCAUUCUAUUGUCUGUAACCGAAUUUUAUCAGUUGAUCCAAAAUGUUCUUUAUGGCUUUUCCCCCUUUAGUACAGUGUCAACUCUAGUGGCAGUUACUGCAUUUAAUUAUGGCACUUUAGUCUCCUUUAAUUUGGAACAUUUUGUCACUCUUUCCUGGCCUUUUAGGAAAUUAACAUUUUUGAGGAAUUUAUUCUCCUUUUGAGUAGAAUAUUCUUUAUUUUGGAUUAGUCUGAUGUUUCUUCAUGAUUAGAUUCAAGUUCUGCAUUCCCCGUUGGAAAUGCUCCAUGAGUAAUACUGGGUAUUUUAGGCAUCACUUCCAGAGGCACAGGAUGUCCAUCUGCCCCUUCUUGGUGAUAUUAAUUUUGAUCACCCAGAGUAUUGUCUGAUUUCUCUACAAAAUGGUUACUUUUUUUCUCCCUCUUACAAUUGACAAGCAAUCUGUGGGAAGACACUUUAAGGCCAUGCAAAUACUCUGGUUCUUGUAAAAUUUCCCCCCUAGAUUUGGCAUCCAUUGGUUAUUUUGUCCUGACUCAGUCUUUACUCUGAUGGUGUCAAAAGGCUGAUUUUCCAACUAUGUGGACUCUUUCCACAUUUGCUAUUCAGCUCUAGAGAUUCUACUCUAAGCAAGAGGCAAGAGUCCUUUUUUCUCAUUCAUUCAUUUUCAGUAUGGACUUAUUUGUUCGUUUGUUUUCAAUGGGAUAUAUAUAACUUCUCUAAUUAUUUUGAUAAUCAAAUUGUCUCAAAUUUUGCCAGUGGGAGUCUUUUCAAGCAGGCUUUGAUAUUCCUGUGACAUGCAUAUGGAUUUUGAAUCAUAAUUAAAGAGCCUUUUGCCACACGCAGGUUAUUGAGGAAUUCACUCUUAUUUAGUACUUGUACAAUUUCAUUUUUCCUUAAAUCUACUUGUAUUUUAUUUUUAUGUAUGGUGUAAUGAAUCUAAUUUUAUCUUUCUUUUCCAAACAGCCAUACAUUUCUUCCAACACCAUUUCUUUAAAACACUGUCUUUGCCUCACUGAUUUAAGAUUUCACCUUUAUUUACAUGUGUUGCGUCUAUUUUAGGGGUUUCUUUUCCAAUGGUCUGUCUCUUCAUGCACCAGUACCACACUGUUUUAAUUAUAGAGGCUUUGACAGAUGUUUUAAUGUCUAAGAGGGCUAUUUUCUCAUCAUAUCCCUUUUUAGUGUUGUCUUGGCUAUUCUUACAUGUUUAUUUUUCCAUAUGAAUUUUAC
ensembl:lncRNA